GAUGAACGCUAGCUACAGGCUUAACACAUGCAAGUCGAGGGGCAGCAUGGUCUUAGCUUGCUAAGGCCGAUGGCGACCGGCGCACGGGUGAGUAACACGUAUCCAACCUGCCGUCUACUCUUGGACAGCCUUCUGAAAGCAAGAUUAAUACAAGAUGGCAUCAUGAGUCCGCAUGUUCACAUGAUUAAAGGUAUUCCGGUAGACGAUGGGGAUGCGUUCCAUUAGAUAGUAGGCGGGGUAACGGCCCACCUAGUCUUCGAUGGAUAGGGGUUCUGAGAGGAAGGUCCCCCACAUUGGAACUGAGACACGGUCCAAACUCCUACGGGAGGCAGCAGUGAGGAAUAUUGGUCAAUGGGCGCAGGCCUGAACCAGCCAAGUAGCGUGAAGGAUGACUGCCCUAUGGGUUGUAAACUUCUUUUAUAAAGGAAUAAAGUCGGGUAUGUAUACCCGUUUGCAUGUACUUUAUGAAUAAGGAUCGGCUAACUCCGUG
rnacentral:rRNA from 1 species